GACGAACGCUGGCGGCGUGCCUAAUACAUGCAAGUAGAACGCUGAAGGAAGGAGCUUGCUCUUUCUGGAUGAGUUGCGAACGGGUGAGUAACGCGUAGGUAACCUGCCUGGUAGCGGGGGAUAACUAUUGGAAACGAUAGCUAAUACCGCAUAAAAUUGAUUAUUGCAUGAUAGUCAAUUAAAAGGUGCAACUGCACCACUACCAGAUGGACCUGCGUUGUAUUAGCUAGUUGGUGGGGUAACGGCUCACCAAGGCGACGAUACAUAGCCGACCUGAGAGGGUGAUCGGCCACACUGGGACUGAGACACGGCCCAGACUCCUACGGGAGGCAGCAGUAGGGAAUCUUCGGUAAUGGACGGAAGUCUGACCGAGCAACGCCGCGUGAGUGAAGAAGGUUUUCGGAUCGUAAAGCUCUGUUGUAAGAGAAGAACGAGUGUGAGAGUGGAAAGUUCACACUGUGACGGUAUCUUACCAGAAAGGGACGGCUAACUACGUG
rnacentral:rRNA from 1 species